rnacentral:rRNA from 1 species
GACGAACGCUGGCGGCGUGCUUAACACAUGCAAGUCGAACGGAAAGGCCCUGCUUUUGUGGGGUGCUCGAGUGGCGAACGGGUGAGUAACACGUGAGUAACCUGCCCUUGACUUUGGGAUAACUUCAGGAAACUGGGGCUAAUACCGGAUAGGAGCUCCUGCUGCAUGGUGGGGGUUGGAAAGUUUCGGCGGUUGGGGAUGGACUCGCGGCUUAUCAGCUUGUUGGGGGGGUAGUGGCUUACCAAGGCUUUGACGGGUAGCCGGCCUGAGAGGGUGACCGGCCACAUUGGGACUGAGAUACGGCACCGACUCCUACGGGAGGGAGCGGUGGCGAAUAUUGCGCAAUGGGAGGAAGCCUAAUGCAGCAACGCCGCGUGCGGGAUGACGGCCUUCGGGUUGUAAAACGCUUUCGCCUGUGACGAAGCGUGAGUGAUGGUAAUGGGUAAAGAAGCACCGGCUAACUACGUG